UACGGGGGGAGCAAGCGUUGUUCGGAAUUACUGGGCGUAAAGGGCUCGUAGGUGGCCAACUAAGUCAUACGUGAAAUCCCUCGGCUUAACCGGGGAACUGCGUCUGAUACUGGAUGGCUUGAGGUUGGGAGAGGGAUGCGGAAUUCCAGGUGUAGCGGUGAAAUGCGUAGAUAUCUGGAGGAACACCGGUGGCGAAGGCGGCAUCCUGGACCGACACUGACGCUGAGGCGCGAAAGCUAGGGGAGCAAACGGG
rnacentral:rRNA from 1 species